CACUGCCGAGAAAAGCCUCUAGAUAGAAAAUAGGUGCCCGUACCGCAAACCGACACAGGUAGUCAAGAUGAGAAUUCUAAGGUGAGCGAGCGAACUCUCGUUAAGGAACUCGGCAAAAUGACCCCGUAACUUCGGGAGAAGGGGUGCUCUUUAGGGUUAACGCCCAGAAGAGCCGCAGUGAAUAGGCCCAAGCGACUGUUUAUCAAAAACACAGGUCUCUGCUAAACCGUAAGGUGAUGUAUAGGGGCUGACGCCUGCCCGGUGCUGGAAGGUUAAGAGGAGUGGUUAGCUUCUGCGAAGCUACGAAUCGAAGCCCCAGUAAACGGCGGCCGUAACUAUAACGGUCCUAAGGUAGCGAAAUUCCUUGUCGGGUAAGUUCCGACCCGCACGAAAGGCGUAACGAUUUGGGCACUGUCUCAACGAGAGACUCGGUGAAAUCAUAGUACCUGUGAAGAUGCAGGUUACCCGCGACAGGACGGAAAGACCCCGUGGAGCUUUACUGUAGCCUGAUAUUGA
rnacentral:rRNA from 1 species